rnacentral:lncRNA from 1 species
CCUGAGAAGUCAGAAUUGCUGGUUUGGAAACCGAGCUCCAGGACCUGCUUGCUGUGUGAACCUGGGCAGUGUUCAGCUCCCAUUUGUUGGGGUUUGCUGUACAGUGUGCCUUCGACUGAAAGCUGACCGUGAUGUGCAGGUGAACGGAGCUGCUGCCCCAGGGCCUUUGUGGUGUGGUGCAACGGAGGAGAAGCUGUGGUAGACGCCCAGGAUUCCGUCUUCGCCUUAGUGAUCCAGAGGCUGGGAACCCACCACGAGAAUGUCUUGCUCUUUCAGUCUCCUUUGACAGGACAAGCGGCUGGAAGGGGCUAGGACUGAAUGUUUCACUGCCUCCAGUUGGUUUAGGUUCCCGGUAAUUUAGAGUCUAGUAGCUUCUGUUGAGAGCAGGCUUUCAGUUUUCUUAAAAACAGAAUUCUGAUGUUGUGUCUGUCAGCUUUUUGUCAUGUGACAAGAGCUUCCAGACGGAGAAAUUUUGGCUCAUGGUUUCUGUCCUUGGCCACUUGGCCCUGUUGCUUUUGGGUCUGUGGCAAGGCAGCAUGUCAUGGCUGAGAAGUGUCUUGGAGAUAGCUACUCCCCUCAUGGGAGCCAGGGAGCAAACAGACAAAGGAAAGGGAUACACUUUCCCACUGUCCUUGUGGGCACUCCCCAGCCCCUGUGGAACUGGCUUACAGUUUCAGAAUUUAGUCCAUUAUCAUCACGGCAGGAAGUAUGGGCAGGCGAGAUGCUGGUGAAGGAGCUGAGACGUCUACAUUCGGAUCAGCGGGCAGCUGGAAGGAAGGUUAUGGUCACUCACUACACCUGGCUGGAGAUUCUGAGACCUCAGAGCCCCUAAUGACACACUUCCUCUAGUAAAGCCACAUUUCAUUCAGUAAGACCACAUCUACUCCAAAAAGGCCACACCUCCUAAGAGUGGCGCUCCUUAUCAAUCUAUAGGAACCAUUUUUGAUUCAAACCACCACAGUAACUGAUACAGAAUAUAAUAAACAUUUGAAAUAAAUAUAUAAUUCUUGGGAGUUUUUUUUGUUUAGUUUAGUUUAGUUUAGUUUAGUUUAGUUUAGUUUUGUUUUGUUUUGUUUUGUUUGAGACAAGGUUUCUUUGCCUCACAGAGCCUUGGCUGGCUGGGGACUUGCUGUGUAGACCAGGCUGCCUUUGAACACACAGAGACUCACCUGUACUGCCUCCUGAGUGCUGGCGUUAACAGCAUGCCCCAUUAUGCCCUGUGAUAACUUAAAAACUGUAGACGUUUUCAUUGCAUUGCUUAUCGAGACAUCUGCGGCCAUCACUGGCCUUUGCAGAUACAUGCAAUAAUAAAUUCCUUCAUCUCUG